AAAAGUUACUUGAAAAUACAUGAACAAAUUCAUACUGGCGAAAAGCUGUUUCAGUGUAAAAUCUGCUCUAAAUCAUUCCGUCAAUGCAGUCAUUUGAAAGAACAUGAAAAAAUUCAUACCGGCGAAAAACCGUCUCAGUGUAAAAUUUGCUCUAAAUCAUUCCGUCAAUGCAGUCAUUUGAAAGAACAUGAAAAAAUUCAUUCUGGCGAAAAACUUUUCAGUGUAAUAUCUGCUUAAAUUCAUUCAGUUAGUAUAAUAAUUUGAAAAGACGUGACAAUGGUUAUUAGCAAAAAUACAUCUUUGUGUAAAAUCUGCUCCAAAUCAUUCAUUGAGAGACGUAACUUGAAGUUGAAUGAACAAAUUCAUACUGCUCAAAGUCAUUCACUAAAAGUAGGCCCUUGAGAAAAGAAUAACUUCAUACUGGAAAGAAACCAUUUUAGUAUAAAAUAAAUUAUCUCCUGAAGAUUCCAACUUGAAUAAACGUGAAACAUGUACAAGACGAACUUCUGUGAGGUAUCUUCCGCAAAUGUCUGUCGGAUAUAAUUCAAUGUCCAGCAUGAUAUUAGCCGGGAAAGUAGCUAUUUUCCAGCAUGCGUUUACCAGAACCCACUGUUUAGGUACUUUGGUAGAGUUGAACGAUUUGAGGUUUAUUUUCUUGAAUUCAUUACUAGGUUAUUGAAUGCAAAAUAGCAGAUUGGAAAAAAAAAUGAAUACUGAAUCCUAAUUAUAGUGAAAAUGCAGUAAAAUUAAAAAGCGUUACUAUUAAGAAGAUACAAUGAAAUCGUUAAUUGAGUAUAUAAUUUCUGGCCUGACCAAUUGCGACCGGCAGAUUUCAUUAAAGAAUUGAUGAAGCUCAACAAAACUCUGAUUGACUUUUUAAUCUAACAGUUGUCCAGUGACGAAAUAGUAUCAUUUUUAAGUAAUCGACCGAUUAAUCUGAAUUUCCGAAAUUGUCAAUCUUAUAAAAUUGUAGAUAUUGUCGAAAAAGUAUAAAUUGAUAUGUUCGAUACCAUGUAGUUGGUCUAUGAAUAAAUAAAUUUCUUUCUUUCGUUCUUGAUGAUUGGUGAUAUGGCUCAAUUUAAGAAUCCUGCUUCUCAUGUUUGGAUGCGGAUAGGAACUGGGAACAAUGAAAGAUUAUAGAAAUGUGUAAACAGCUAGGUUAAACAUUAGCCAAAAGUUUUAUCGGUUUUCAUGCUUUCUCUGGGUGUGAUUUUAGUUCUGCUUUCUUCAAUAAAGGAAAAAGAAGGUCAUUUACUUUGCUGAAAGAUAGUUUUGAAUUCAAAUAGGCUUUUGCACCUCUUGAUGACCAAGAUUUAACAGAGCAUGAGUUACAUCUAUUGUUUAGUAUUAAUGAAGGGUUCACUUGCCAGAUGAAUAAUGCCAAAAAAUGUGAAGACAGUGGAUGAUGGACGAUAUCAGAUAUUUAUCAACAGCUACAAGGCUGCUGAAUGAAAGUUUCAGCAAAAAAGUGUAUACUUUUGAUGCAACUUCAAUACUACCGAACAAGUCUGAGUUUUAUCGACAAUUUUUGAGGGCUCAUUACACUUCUUGUAUUUGGAGAAAUGCCUUCAAAAAGCAACCUACAAAGUUGAAUCCAUUGGAAUAUUGUUGGAUUCAACGAGAAAAUUCAUUUGUCUUCAAAUGGUGUGAAGGAGAUCAACGUCCAGGCUUUGUUAGUGACUUUAUUAGUGAAAUCCGUGAAACUGAUGUAAUGGAUAAUGAAGAUGACUUUCAUGGCGAGGAAAACUUUGAAGAAGAUGAGUGAGCAGAAAAUAAUAUAAUGUAUACGAUUAAAAAUGUAUAUGUGUCCACUUAACACUUUUAAAUUUCGCCUCGAACACAAAAUAAACAAGUUGAAUUACAA